rnacentral:rRNA from 1 species
UACGUAGGGUGCAAGCGUUAAUCGGAAUUACUGGGCGUAAAGCGUGCGCAGGCGGUGAUGUAAGACAGAUGUGAAAUCCCCGGGCUCAACCUGGGAACUGCAUUUGUGACUGCAUCGCUGGAGUGCGGCAGAGGGGGAUGGAAUUCCGCGUGUAGCAGUGAAAUGCGUAGAUAUGCGGAGGAACACCGAUGGCGAAGGCAAUCCCCUGGGCCUGCACUGACGCUCAUGCACGAAAGCGUGGGGAGCAAACAGGG